UGAUUGUAUUGUUGUUUGCGUUCGUUGACUACUGCGCUCCUUGCGACGCCACACCAUUCACGUUGCUGAAGCGAUAGCUGCGUCGUAAUUUUCGAACUCGGGGGCCAUCAAAGCACAUACGCACAAAGUAGCUAUGUAGCAGUUCGUAAUUCAGCAGAAAUCUGCGUCAGUGCACUUGCAUCGCAAAAGGAGCUGUUCCAACUUUCAGCUGUUCAACCAGAGACUUUCAAACUGGUGAACACGUAAUACAGCUAGCUAUCUAUUAAAAUAUGCAGACUACUAGUAGCUAGACUACGGUACGUAUAGUCACGUAGACAUAGAUUAACUUUUUAGUUCUUCAGGAAUAUUGCAUGGGCUUACACAUAAUCUAUACCUUACAUUGUAUAUCUAAAGUAAACAUGCUUCUGAGUAUAAAGUUUAUAAUAAACUCUGUCAAGCAUUUUUGCUGUUCUGCUGAAUACUGGCGGACAGACUGUGCUGUCUCUUUAUCUUUUGUAUUCGCUUCGGCAUCACAUACCUACUGACAGAAGGAGUUGUUUGAGUUGAUCUCCUACUAUUAAACACACUGGGGCGGCCAGCUUUUGCAGGAACAGAGCUUGAAUUUUUCAUGUGUUUUCGUCUGCUGAGGGCUGUAGGCUGCACCGGAAUUCUUUGCCUGUGCUUUGUUAUCCCUGUAUAACUGCCAAAAGUGUGUAAUGCUGAAACCAAACGCUGCUGCUUGGUCGGUGGAUGUGUUCAUUUUCCUCAACAUUUCCAGUAGUUUUCACAAACCUUUUUAACAGCUGUCAGAUACCCAUCAUUAUUUGUCAUGUUGGGUGCAAGUCCAGUUUCUAGGUCAACCGUGACUUCAUUGAGACUUGUUUUGACUGUCUCAAUUGUCUGAUUCUUGUCUUCACCACUACUGGGUAUUUCAGUCUCCUUCAUGGUUGUUUUCUGCCUUUUCUGUUGGAACAGAUCAUCAUCCAGCAUGGCUGAUUCUUUGAAAGAAUGCCGUAUGUCUUCAUUAUGCCAUUGAAUAUCAACAGAGAGGGACUGCAAGUACUCUUCAUCUAACUUUUGGUGAAGACUGCUAUAGAAGCUAAUGGGUUGGCAAUCUUUUUACAAGAGCUACGCCUGCAACGAGCUGAUGGGGAUCAACAGCAACGAGGAGUGGAGAACGUGAAGGAUGAGAAGUCGGCUGUUGUGGAGGACAAAGCAGCAGCAUUGGGUACAGAUUGUAGUGACUGGAUCGUGUAGCACAUGUUUGCUGAUAGAGUGAUGGAUAAGCAGACGAACGGAUAGACUGACUCUGUCACAGACAGAUGGAUAGACAGACAGAUGGACAGACACACAGAUGUACAGAUGGACAGACACACAGAUGUACAGAUGGACAGACUCAUACAGACAGAUGGACAGACUCACAGACAGAGAGAUAGACAGACACACAGACAGACAGAUGGACAGACAGACAGAUGGACAGAAAUGGACGGGACAGACAGACAGACAAACAAUGGACAGAAAAACAGAUGGACAAACAAUUGACAGACAUACAUACAAACAAUGGACAGACAGACAGACAAACAAUGGACAGACAGACAGACAGACAGACAAACAAUGGACAGAUAUUUGACAGACAAGCAAACAAACAAUGGAUAGACAGAUGGACAAACAAUUGACAGACACAGACAAACAAUGGACAGACACAUAGACAAACAAUUGACAGACAGACAGACAGGUGGACAAACAAUUGACAGACACAGGCAAGCAGUGGACAGACAGGUGGACAAACAACUGAUAGACACAGACAAACAAUGGACAGACACAUAGACAAACAAUUGACAGACAGGUUGACAAACAAUUGACAGACACAGACAAGCAAUGGACAGACACACAGACAAACAAUGGACAGACACACAGACAAACAAUUGAUAGACAGAUGGACAAACUAUUGAUAGAUGACAAAUGUAUCAUGAAUGGUAAAUACACCACACACACACACACACACACACACACACACACACACACACACACACACACACACACUCACACACACACACACACACACACACACACACACACACACACACACACACACACACACACAAACCACAUAUAAUAAGCUAAGUGUAUACUGAGCACUGAUAACAAUCUGGCAAAUCAGUACUGAGUAGCAAGUCAAAUAACAACCUGUUUGUAGUUGUGUGUGUACAAUGUUGCAUUUAGUAACUCUUGCAUUCUGCUUCAAGUGUGCUUUAGCGAAUUACGGUUAAUUAGUAAAAUUCACGUACGUAUACCUGGGAGGCAAUGGAGUUGGCUUCAUGUAUUGCUUGGAACUCUCUAAUUCCUUCAAGAUUGAAUACGCCAAAUAGGAAUGCACCGGCUUGAGUGUUGUCUCCAGCCUUCUCAUUGAUUCUUCCAGCCAGAUUUCUGCAGGCAGACUCACUGGGCAUCAUUGGACUACUGUGUGGGUCGCCAAAGUGAGUGGCUUUGGGCACAGUGAUGAGCUGGCCCUUCUCUGGACUCACAUUGGGAAAGUUUUUGCUCAUCUCGGAAGUAAGGAGCUGAUCAUUUUCUUGCUGUGGUUGCCUUGCAAUAGACUGACGUAUACGAGUAUCAUCUCUACCUCUAGACGUCCAAACUCCUAAUAUUGCAAACUAAGCUCCAGCAACAACAACAACAACAACAAACAACAACAACAACAAAGCAGCACAACUUCAAGGCUGCAGCAGGGAACUGUUCUAGAUAGAUAGAUGUGUUGAAUAUUUCUAAUGUUUGUUUUAAAUCAAUUAUAAAUUGAAUUCUACUAUGUGCUCCUGUUUAUCUUCCGUGCAAGAGUAAUUUUGCAGACUGACACGUAGUAUAGUCAUCUAAUUUGUAAGUUAUUCAAAGUCACAACGUUGUACUUGGUAAUAAGAGUACCAUCUAGUUUGAAUGAGCGAGCUUGACGGCUAAAUGAGCACUUCUGGUUUGAUGUCAGGGUUCCUGAUUUUUCUCCAGUCUUGAGAAACACUAAAAUGUCUCUUUCGGUGUACGGUCUCAUUUCUUUCACCGGGC